rnacentral:rRNA from 1 species
UACGAAGGGGGCUAGCGUUGCUCGGAUUGACUGGGCGUAAAGGGCGCGUAGGCGGUUCGUACAGUCAGACGUGAAAUUCCUGGGCUCAACCUGGGGGCUGCGUUUGAUACGUGCGGACUUGAGUGCGGAAGAGGGUCGUGGAAUUCCCAGUGUAGAGGUGAAAUUCGUAGAUAUUGGGAAGAACACCGGUGGCGAAGGCGGCAUCCUGGACCGACAUUGACGCUGAGGAGCGAAAGCUAGGGGAGCGAACGGG